AUACUUACCUGGUGCCGAGAUUACCAUGAUCAGCCAGGUGGUGUCUCCAGGGAGAGGCGCGAGCAUUGCACUGCGCUCGUGCUGACCCCUGCCACUACCCCAAACUGGGGCAGAUGGGGCAUGCAAUUUUUGGUAGUGGGGGACUGCGUUCGCGCUAUCCCCCU
rnacentral:snRNA from 1 species